UAGGGAAUCUUUGGCAAUGGACGAAAGUCUGACCGAGCAACGCCGCGCGAGUGAAGAAGGUUUUCGGAUCGUAAAACUCUGUUGUUAGAGAAGAAAAAGGACGUUAGUAACUGAACGUCCCCUGACGGUAUCUAACCAGAAAGCCACGGCUAACUACGUGCCAGCAGCCGCGGUAAUACGUAGGUGGCAAGCGUUGUCCGGAUUUAUUGGGCGUAAAGCGAGCGCAGGCGGUUUCUUAAGUCUGAUGUGAAAGCCCCCGGCUCAACCGGGGAGGGUCAUUGGAAACUGGGGGACUUGAGUGCAGGAGAGGAGAGUGGAAUUCCAUGUGUAGCGGUGAAAUGCGUAGAUAUGUGGAGGAACACCAGUGGCGAAGGCGGCUCUCUGGUCUGUAACUGACGCUGAGGCUCGAAAGCGUGGGGAACAAACAGG
rnacentral:rRNA from 1 species